CCUACGGGAGGCAGCCGUGAGGAAUAUUGGUCAAUGGACGAGAGUCUGAACCAGCCAAGUAGCGUGAAGGAUGACUGCCCUAUGGGUUGUAAACUUCUUUUAUAUGGGAAUAAAAUGUUCCACGUGUGGGAUUUUGUAUGUACCAUAUGAAUAAGGAUCGGCUAACUCCGUGCCAGCAGCCGCGGUAAUACGGAGGCUCCGCGCGUUAUCCGGAUUUAGUGGGUUUAAAGGGAGCGUAGGUGGAUUGUUAAGUCAGUUGUGAAAGUUUGCGGCUCAACCGUAAAAUUGCAGUUGAAACUGGCAGUCUUGAGUACAGUAGAGGUGGGCGGAAUUCGUGGUGUAGCGGUGAAAUGCUUAGAUAUCACGAAGAACUCCGAUUGCGAAGGCAGCUCACUGGACUGCAACUGACACUGAGGCUCGAAAGUGUGGGUAUCAAACAGGAUUAGAUACCCUUGUAGUC
rnacentral:rRNA from 1 species